CCAGACUCCUACGGGAGGCAGCAGUGGGGAAUCUUCCGCAAUGGGCGCAAGCCUGACGGAGCAACGCCGCGUGAGUGAAGAAGGUCUUCGGAUCGUAAAGCUCUGUUGACGGGGACGAACGUGCGAAGGGUGAAUAAUCCUUUGUAAUGACGGUACCUGUCGAGGAAGCCACGGCUAACUACGUGCCAGCAGCCGCGGUAAUACGUAGGUGGCGAGCGUUGUCCGGAAUCAUUGGGCGUAAAGGGAGCGCAGGCGGGCAUGUAAGUCUUUCUUAAAAGUGCGGGGCUCAACCCCGUGAUGGGAAAGAAACUACAUGUCUUGAGUACAGGAGAGGAAAGCGGAAUUCCCAGUGUAGCGGUGAAAUGCGUAGAUAUUGGGAGGAACACCAGUGGCGAAGGCGGCUUUCUGGACUGCAACUGACGCUGAGGCUCGAAAGCCAGGGGAGCGAACGGGAUUAGAUACCCCGGUAGUCCUGGCCGUAAACGAUGGAUACUAGGUGUGGGAGGUAUCGACCCCUACCGUGCCGGAGUUAACGCAAUAAGUAUCCCGCCUGGGGAGUACGGUCGCAAGACUGAAACUCAAAGGAAUUGACGGGGGCCCGCACAAG
rnacentral:rRNA from 1 species